CUUCAUCAUAUACAAUAUCAUGCAAUACAACAAUAAACAAUAAAUUGUCAAGCAUACAAUGAGAGAUAUAAAUGCAAAUUGAUACAAAAUAAAAAGAACAAAUAAUUUACAUAUCAACAAUAAUUGGUUAUUGGGCAAAGAAUGAGAGAGAGUUCAAAUUAGAAGUGCAAUUAAUGGACUUCUAACCAUAACAUUAAGAUAUCCUUUGGGAGCACAUAGUGAUCUAAUAUAGGCAAAUAGUCUCUCCACAGACAUGAAUGUAUAGUGAAUAAGUAGGCCUUGCAUCUUUUUCAUCUGUAAUAAAUUGCUGACUUGCAAGAUUCCAUAAUUUCUGGUAUCACAUCCUUUAACAUAGAUUAAUAACAAUUUACUCUACUUCUUCAUUGGCAUCAGUUGCACCUAUAUAGUUAUAACAUUUGUUUAAAAUUUAUUUUUCCUAAAUAUUUCUUGCUAAAUUAUAUGUGGCUUGAAAUAACCUGGAUAAUGUCAAUGGCAUUUCUGUACUGUCUACAAGAAAACUGUGCAUGAACUUAGGAAAAGUCAAGGACGUUCAUCCUUAUUUUUUGAGAACCAGGGAUGAAUAAUGAUGUUGGAUUUGGACUUGAAAAAUCAAGGUUCAAAUCCCCAGAGGAUGACCCUGAGCCAGUCACUGUCUCUCAACUUAAUUCACUUCAUAGAGUUGUUGUGAGGAUAAAAUGGAGAGAAAGAAUAAACUCACAAUCUGCACAGCAUCACCUAAGAGCUGGUGUAAUGCACAAAUGUGAGCUGUGAGCUAGGAAAUCACCAGCUCAGAUAUCAUUUCAUCCAUGACCUCAUAAAGUGCACUGCAUUGCUUUGUAAGGGCAAGAAACAGACUUGAGGAUUUGGAGGCAAUCAAAAAGCAUCAUUGUGUAAGGCUAGACAAAAUGCUAUGGACCAAAGAGAGGGAAUACAAAGUAAAAGAGAUGCCUUACAUCCUUCUGUUUGUCAGGAAACGGCAGAGAGACCCAAAAGCUGGCAGAUACCCGGUACUUUCCACAUUCUUAGGACUUGUAUAUCAUUUUGUGUAUUUACAGUUAUCACCAAGAUAGUGGACACUGAUACUUUCAAAAAACAACAGGGCUUGCCAAGGAUGGUGAAAGAGGUAACCUUCUAAUGAUCAAUUCAUGACCAGGGCCAAGGGCAAAGGUAAAAGUGCCCAGAUUAAUAGAUAAGGCAUAUAUUUUUAUUUUGUUUUUCUGCAGGGUACCUCCAUCCAUUCCAAAGGUCAAAAGGUUCUGUGCACUGUUUUCACUCACAUACACAUACAUAUCCUCUAUCUAGGUCGGCAGAGGGACUUAUAACAGCUCAGGUAAACUGCUCUACUCUUCCAAACAAGUAGAAAAGCUCAAGGAGGUGCAGAAUUGAUCUGCUAAGGAACAUGACCUGCCAAAAAGCAUGAUGUGAUGUGAUGGAUGGAUAGAAAAGCCUGGAGACCUGCACUCUCAAUCAACACCCUCUCUUCCCUUCUCAGUACAAGUCAAAGAUUAGGGCAGGAGCUGCACAGUGCCUUUAUGGCACCUUGAAUGUGCAAGGAGGAUGCAGUAUCUGCAUGACCCUGCCCCCUUGUUGCAUGUGGAUGUGGAGCAUGGCAUCUGCAUGGACACCGCACUCUACGCCUACCAUGCCAUAGCACAUGCUCUGAGACCUCCUCAAACAGCUUUUGGAGCCAGCUGCUUGAGAUGACUUACUGGUCCCCUAGGUGGUGUUUGCAUAUUGGAACACAGAGAGUGCCCUUGCUUUCAGAUUCCCCUGUUUCAAUUCUAAGGUCUCCUCCUCAUCUAUCAAUCACAGCUAGGGAAUCCCCAGUCCUGAUUUUG
rnacentral:lncRNA from 1 species